AUUGAACGCUGGCGGUAGGCCUAACACAUGCAAGUCGAACGAGUGGCGGACGGGUGAGUAAUGUCUGGGAAACUGCCUGAUGGAGGGGGAUAACUACUGGAAACGGUAGCUAAUACCGCAUACCAUCAGAUGUGCCCAGAUGGGAUUGGCUUGUUGGUGGGGUAACGGCUCAACAAGGCGACGAUCCCUAGCUGUUCUGAGAGGAUGACCAGCCACACUUGAACUGAGACACGGUCCAGACUCCUACGGGAUGCAGCAGGUGGGAAUAUUGCAAAAUGGGCGCAAGCCUGAUGCAUCCAUGCCGCGGGGAUUAAGAAGGCCUUCGGGUUGGAAAGUACUUUCAGCGGGGAAGCGUUACCCGCAGAAGAAGCACCUGCUAACUCCGUGCCAGCAGCCGCGGUAAUUC
rnacentral:rRNA from 1 species